GGUAUUGUGAACAUUCUCAUAGUUUUCUUUUGCUGUCAAAGAGAACUAAAUACAGUCCAUCUCUUUGUGGGUUCUUUAUAUUGGCUAAAUCCAUUCCCCUAUUGUCUAUGUAGCUUACUGCUGUUUCUCUCCACACUCAUAUCUUGUCUAUGUAGCUUACUGCUGUUUCUCUCCACACUCAUAUCUUGUCUAUGUAGCUUACUGCUGUUUCUCUCCACACUCAUAUCUUGUCUAUGUAGCUUACUGCUGUUUCUCUCCACACUCAUAUCUUGUCUAUGUAGCUUACUGCUGUUUCUCUCCACACUCAUAUCUUGUCUAUGUAGCUUACUGCUGUUUCUCUCCACACUCAUAUCUUGUCUAUGUAGCUUACUGCUGUUUCUCUCCACACUCAUAUCUUGUCUAUGUAGCUUACUGCUGUUUCUCUCCACACUCAUAUCUUGUCUAUGUAGCUUACUGCUGUUUCUCUCCACACUCAUAUCUUGUCUAUGUAGCUUACUGCUGUUUCUCUCCACACUCAUAUCUUGUCUAUGUAGCUUACUGCUGUUUCUCUCCACACUCAUAUCUUGUCUAUGUAGCUUACUGCUGUUUCUCUCCACACUCAUAUCUUGUCUAUGUAGCUUACUGCUGUUUCUCUCCACACUCAUAUCUUGUCUAUGUAGCUUACUGCUGUUUCUCUCCACACUCAUAUCUUGUCUAUGUAGCUUACUGCUGUUUCUCUCCACACUCAUAUCUUGUCUAUGUAGCUUACUGCUGUUUCUCUCCACACUCAUAUCUUGUCUAUGUAGCUUACUGCUGUUUCUCUCCACACUCAUAUCUUGUCUAUGUAGCUUACUGCUGUUUCUCUCCACACUCAUAUCUUGUCUAUGUAGCUUACUGCUGUUUCUCUCCACACUCAUAUCUUGUCUAUGUAGCUUACUGCUGUUUCUCUCCACACUCAUAUCUUGUCUAUGUAGCUUACUGCUGUUUCUCUCCACACUCAUAUCUUGUCUAUGUAGCUUACUGCUGUUUCUCUCCACACUCAUAUCUUGUCUAUGUAGCUUACUGCUGUUUCUCUCCACACUCAUAUCUUGUCUAUGUAGCUUACUGCUGUUUCUCUCCACACUCAUAUCUUGUCUAUGUAGCUUACUGCUGUUUCUCUCCACACUCAUAUCUUGUCUAUGUAGCUUACUGCUGUUUCUCUCCACACUCAUAUCUUGUCUAUGUAGCUUACUGCUGUUUCUCUCCACACUCAUAUCUUGUCUAUGUAGCUUACUGCUGUUUCUCUCCACACUCAUAUCUUGUCUAUGUAGCUUACUGCUGUUUCUCUCCACACUCAUAUCUUGUCUAUGUAGCUUACUGCUGUUUCUCUCCACACUCAUAUCUUGUCUAUGUAGCUUACUGCUGUUUCUCUCCACACUCAUAUCUUGUCUAUGUAGCUUACUGCUGUUUCUCUCCACACUCAUAUCUUGUCUAUGUAGCUUACUGCUGUUUCUCUCCACACUCAUAUCUUGUCUAUGUAGCUUACUGCUGUUUCUCUCCACACUCAUAUCUUGUCUAUGUAGCUUACUGCUGUUUCUCUCCACACUCAUAUCUUGUCUAUGUAGCUUACUGCUGUUUCUCUCCACACUCAUAUCUUGUCUAUGUAGCUUACUGCUGUUUCUCUCCACACUCAUAUCUUGUCUAUGUAGCUUACUGCUGUUUCUCUCCACACUCAUAUCUUCAACACAGAGUUUGAUUCCUUUGAUCAUGGGGCUGUAUUUUUGUAUAAUUAUGUAA
rnacentral:lncRNA from 1 species